UACGUAGGGUGCAAGCGUUGUCCGGAAUUAUUGGGCGUAAAGAGCUCGUAGGCGGUCUGUCACGUCGGCUGUGAAAACCCGGGGCUCAACCCCGGGCCUGCAGCCGAUACGGGCAGACUAGAGUUCGGCAGGGGAGACUGGAAUUCCUGGUGUAGCGGUGAAAUGCGCAGAUAUCAGGAGGAACACCGGUGGCGAAGGCGGGUCUCUGGGCCGAUACUGACGCUGAGGACGAAAGCGUGGGGAGCAACAGG
rnacentral:rRNA from 1 species